rnacentral:lncRNA from 1 species
CUUAGACCAUCCUAAAGACUGAAAAGGACAAAGAUAGGGUUCCAAGAUACACAACUCACCUCCCUAACUCCAAUCCUAGGGCCCUUGUUCAGACAAUUGGGUGGGCUAGGUCUAAGUAGUUCCCAGCUCACAGCCAGUUUCUGGAUCGUUAUCCACAACCCACAUCUAGAACAGGCCCUUCCCCCUUUCAUUUGCCCAAAAUGCAAACAUGUAACCUGCAGGAGGGGGAAUGGAGAUUGUCAGGCCCUGGCCUUCUGCUUGAGGAGCCCGGAACUAAGGGCUCCAUACAAGUCCUAGAGUCAGGACAAGCCAGAACUGAGUCUCUGCCCUGUGAAGUCCCCCCUGCCUCCGGACAAUGCACAGCCAAGCUGAGCUAGCACCAGAGGGGCCAGUAGCAUGUAGGAGUGGUAGAAGGGUCCUUGGACAGAAUUAAAGAGCUUCUAGUUUCCGUUUGAGAUGAGGGAGCAUCACCCGAGGGAACUGUAUCCCCAGGCAGAGACAACCCCCAGGGUGCUGGGGACCAGGGUCAAAAGUGGUUCCAAAAUUGAAUGUUUCUGGAGAUGCUAGCUUGUCCCCUCCACCACCUCUCUCACUCUACUGCCCUCCCCACCCAACUACCCUGAGGUCCCACAGGAUCUACUGAGUCCCUGUCAUGGAAGUUGGGGGUGGGGUGGUGAGACGGCUCUGACAGAUCCCAG